ACCUUGGGCGGCUCCGCACCUGCACCCGCACCCGCGGGGCUCAGCCCCGAAGGCUGCAGCUUCGGGGGAGGCGCGGUCGCCGAGGUCCAGCUGGUGGGGCGAGAGACGUCGCCCCUCGGAGGAUGCUCUCGGAACUUGGGAGAGGAAGGAGGGAAGAGAAGAGGGGAAAGGGGCCGUCGAUGUUUUUGAUGUCUGUGCUUUAAUGGAGGCCACCAAUAUUGAGAAGACGGGGUUGGCCGAGGCAGCCCGCACGCUGCUGCUUGCGAGCGCUCGAGUCAAAGCUAGGGCCAACCGCGGCUUGUCCGGGUGCCCUAAGGGGGCGGACACUUGGUUUAGCACCGGGACACAGAAUAGCCACCGGGGUAGGAAGAUGCGUUCACUUUGCUUACCUGUUGGCAAGAGGGACAUACAAAAAUAACGUAACGUGACAUCGUUGACAACGGUAGCUCUUUGAUUACACAAAAGCCAAUUUUACCUUCCCGCAAAAGCCAGUUGACGCCUUUGGAACUUUUAUUUGCGGCAUUUUGGCGCCCUCUGGCUGUGUUUGGAUCGCUUUCAUGCUCGCCUGCGUCCCAGCCAAGAAAAAAUCGAUGGAGCUGCAGGUUGUCCUCAGGAUGGUUCUGCCCUCAGGACCUGGGCGUGAAUUCAGGGACAGGGUGGCCCUCCAGAACCGGAGUGACAAACUGUAACCAUACUUAGGGAGGCAGACGUCAAAGGCAAGUACAUCUGUAUUCAACUGGGUAAAGCCAUGUGAAGACGUGCCUGCCUCCCUGUUACCUUCCACCAUGAUUGUAAGCUUCCUGAGGCCUCCCCAGCCAUGCCUGCUGUAUAGCCUGCAGAACAAUGAAGUCCCGCUCUGUCGCCCAGGCUGGAGUGCAAUGGCAAGAUCAAUCUCAGCUCAGUGCAACCUUCACCUCCCGGGUUCAAGCAAUCCUCCUGCCUCAGACUCCCAAGUUGCUGGGAUUACAGGUCUGCUUAACAUAAGGUUUGCAGCCAAGCGCGGCCACUCAUGCCUGUAAUCCCAGCACUUUGGGAGGCCGAGGCGGGCGGAUCAUGAGAUCAGGAGAUUGAGACCAUCCCGGCUAACACAGUGAAACCCCGUCUCUACUGAAAAUAGAAAAAAUUAACUGGGUGCGGUGGCGGGUGCCUGUAGUCCCAGUUACUUGGGAGGCUGAGGCAGGAGAAUGGCGUGAACCUGGGAGGUGGAGCUUGCAGUGAGCCAGGAUCGCGCCACUGCACUCCAGCCUGGGUGACAGAGCGAGACUCCAUCUCAAAAAAUAAUAAUAAUAAAAUAAAAUAAGGUUUGCAUAUUGGUUAUAAGCAUUUUCUCACAUCAGUCUAAUACCUUGUGGCUACUGAUUUCCUGCACUGGGAGUCAGCAGACCUCAUGGCGAUGCAAAACGUCUGCCAAUGUAUAUUAAAAGGAAACCAAGUAAGAACAGACUUUGCCGCCAUUUGGGCAACUCCUCACGUAGAUGCUUGGCAAGUAACAGUCAGAGACAGUGUGCUAUUGUUCAAAUGCACAGACUGGAUUCUGAUGAGCUGGAUUCUGAUGAAUCUCAGUUGUGCUACUAACUAACUGGAAUUAUGCAAGUCUCUAAACUUGUGUUCCCACUUCUAAACAUUGUGGGCAAUAAUAAUAUCACCUCCCACAUUGGGCUGUUGUGAAGGCUUAAAUUAGUAAGAUAAUGAAUAUGAUAAGUUUAACAUAGUACCUGGCACAUUGUAAAUUAAUGAAUAAGCAUCACCUAUUAUUACCAGCAUAAAAACUUACCAAUUAAAAAAAAGGGGGAGGGAAGACGGAUUUGAGUAAUAAUAAAAUGCUCAGAAAUAGCUCCAGUGGGACAUUGCCUUAUCCAAGCCAGCUUCAGCACCUUCCCUAAGUCCUUUCCCCAUUUCCAGCUGCAAAGAAGACUUCAGAGUCAGAAGUUUCCACUAGCUCUGAACAAGGGUUGGCAGCAGUCUCAGGGCCUCCAUCCAUCCAGCCCUCAUUGGCUCCCACCCACAUUGUGCCAAGCAGAGUAUCCACAGGAUAUGGAGUCAUCUUCCGUGGUCCCAGCUGGAUUUGAUUGCGCUGUGAUGACUUGGCUGUUGCAGAGGCUAGAUUGAAAGCAUGUCUCAACUUCACCUCUUGAAUGCAAUGCUGUUUAUAUUUGCCUAAUAUUUUUCUCCCCCUUGGGUUAUUUGAAGAUCAUGCCAAACUUUUGUUUCUUUUAACUGGAUAGAGUAUUCUAUAAAGAUAUUUUAAAGCAGUUAUUCUCAUCGACAUUUUGCAAAUCUGGAAGAGAGUUUUUAUAGCUAUACAGCCGUUCUCUCACCAUGGCCUGGCUCCACAUACAGCAAAGUGAUCCUUCUAACCCAGAUCACGCCCCCACUGUACUCCAAACCACUCACUGCCUUCAUCUUAGGAUGGAAAAUAACAUCCUCAGAUGGUUUACAAGGACUCUGCAAUGUCCCCUUGCUCCCAUGUCAUCUUCCUCCACUCUCCCCCUGCCUUUCUUGCUAGCCCUUGAAUAGCCCCAAAUAUGUUCCUGCCUUGAGGCCUUUGCACUUGCUGUUCCCUCUGCCUGGAAUGCUCUUUGCCCUACAUAUCUGCACAGCUCACUUCCUUCUGUUGUCAUUUCAAAUGUCACCUUCUCAGGCAAGCUUCUCCUGUCAUCCUACCACCUUACAUUAUAUUUUUGUUUAUUGAUUUAUUAGAUGGCUCCUGCAUUACAAUGUAAAGUAGGUAACACGAUGGCCUUGGCUGGCAGGGCUCACGCCUGUAAUCCCAGCACUUUAGGAAGAAGAGGUGGGCAGAUCACCUGAGGUCAGGAGUUCAAUACCAGCCUGGCUAACAUGGUGAAAUCCCGUCUCUACUAAAGAUACAAAAAUUAGCCAGGGGUUCUGAGGGGGCACCUGUAAUCCCAACUACUCGGGAGGCUGAGGCACGAGAAUUGCUUGAACCCGGGAAGCAGAGGUUGCAGUGAGAUGAAAUCGCACCACUGCACUCUAGCCUGGGCGACAGAGCAAGACUCUGUCUCAAAAAAAAAAAAAAAAAAUGUCCUUGGCUUUAUUCACCACUGAAUCACCAGCACCUAGAGCCCUGAAGACACGGGUCUCAAUACAUAUUUAUUGAAUGUGAAAGGACUGACCUCCAAGAGAUUCAACAGCAAGCAGGUCUCUCAUUCUGACUGAAGAUUUACUCAUCCAAUUCAUUCAUUGCUAAUGUCUUCUUUAUCAGUCUAGUUAUCAUUUUUUUUAAGCGAAAGCAAGUUUAUUAAGAAAAUGAAGGAAUAAAAGAAUGGCUACUCCACAGGCAGAACAGGCAGUCUAGUUAUCAUUCUUAACUUUCUUGUAUACUUAAAAAUUUCCUUCUGUGCUUCCCACACAUGACUCCAGAUUUCUUUCCUCACCAAUAUUCUGGGAUACUUUAUAUCACCUUCUACUCCCUGACCCAUUUUUACAAUCGUCUGCAGAACACUACUUAACAAAUUGUACAAAGACAUCUAGCCUUACAAAUGCCUCUAUAGAUCAAAAUGUUUUCCAGGGCCGGGAUUAAGAAAAAAAAUGUGGGCUGGACGCAAUGGCUCACGCCUGUAAUCCCAACAUUUUGGGAGGCCGAGGCAGGUGGAUCACCUGAGGCCAGGAGAUCGAGACCAUCCUGGCUAACACGGUGAAACCCCGUUCUACUAAAAAUACAAAAAAUUACCUGGGCGUGGUGGCACGCGCCUGUAGUCCCAGCUACUCAGGAGGCUGAGGCAAGAGAAACGCUUGAACCUGGGAGGUGGAGGUUUCAGCAAGCUGAGAUCACGCCACUGCACUCCAGCCUGGGAAACAGAGCAAAACUUAGGAAAAAAAAAAAAGAGGCGAGGGGGAAAGAAGGAAGGAAGGAAGGAGAAAGAAAGAGAGAAAGAAAAUGCUUUUGGUUGGGCAUGCAGUGACUUGCACCUGUAAUUCCAACACUUUGGGAGGGAGGGGUGGGAGGAUCACUUGAAGUCAGCAGUUCAAGACCAGCCUGGGAAACAGAGAGCUCCUGUCUCUACAAAAAAUUAACAAAAUUAGCUGGGCAUGGUGACACGCACCUGUGGUCUUAGCUACUCGAGAGGCUGAGGUGGGAGAAUCACUUGAGCCAGAGAGGUCAAGGUGGCAGUGAGCCAAGAUCAGCCAUUGCAUUCCAGCCUGGGUGACAGAGCAAGACCCUAAAAAAAAAAAAAAAAAAGAAGAAGAAGAAGAAAAGAAAAAGAAAAAAAAAUGCUCCUUAGCAGCACACAACCUCACCUCAUAAGGUUUCAGAUCACUUCUCCCACCCACACCCCCACCGCCCCCCGCAAAGUGCCCCCACUGUAACAACAGAUAUAUGAUUUUGCACUUUCCGUCAUCUUGACCCACAUAGGUAGCAACCCUUCUUUGGAUUCUGCUGCAGCAUUGUGGUGGUCCCCUGAAACUAAGGGGUAAAACGUGCUUCCAGCAAGAUGCAUGAUCUCUACACAAACCAACAAAUCCUGCUGCUAAAAAGCCAAGAGGUUGGAUGUCUGUAUCGAGUUGUGGCUUGCUUUUCUGUUCUUUCUUAAAAGUAUUGACAAAGCAGAAGGUCAGUGCUAUUAUGGAAUUUACAUUUCUAUGAGAAAGAUAAGGAGGAAGCAGGAUGAAAAUGCUGACAGGGUUCCAUUGUAAAAGGGAAGAACGCUGAGAAAGAGAAGCUUGCCCUGAGACCAUUUUCAAAUAAUAAUAAUAAACUCAUCAGCAAGAAGGAUAACAAAGAGAACAAAGAAAUCUGGAAGAAAUGAAAAUAAUGGAAUUCACUUUGAUUUUAUGGCUUUAAUGCAUAAUAAACAUGCUAGAAAAUAUCAAGUCUAACCCACACUGGUCCUUGGCUCCCUGUUUCUUCCACUCUUCUUUUCUUUUUUUUUUUUUUAAACAGAGUUUUGCUCUUGUUGCCCAGGCUGGAGUACAAUGGAGUGAUCUCAGCUCACUGAAACCUCUGCCUCCGGGGUUCAAGCAAUUCUCCUGCCUCAGGCUCCGGAGUAGCUGGGAUUACAGGUGUGUGCCACCACACCCAGCUAAUUUUGUAUUUUU
rnacentral:lncRNA from 1 species